UAAGGGAUAUUGCACAAUGGGCGAAAGCCUGAUGCAGCAACGCCGCGUGGAGGAAGACGGCCUUCGGGUUGUAAACUCGUUUUGCGUCUGACAAGAAAGGAUGGUAGGACGCGAAUAAGUCACGGCUAACUACGUGCCAGCAGCCGCGGUAAAACGUAGGUGGCGAGCGUUAUCCGGAUUUACUGGGCGUAAAGGGUGUGCAGGCGGGCGGCCAAGUGGUGUAUGAAAUGGCCCGGCUUAACCGGGCAGGGUUAUGCCAGACUGGUCGUCUGGAGUGCGAGAGAGGGGCGUGGAAUUCCGGGUGUAGUGGUGAAAUGCGUAGAGAUCCGGAGGAACCCCAGAGGCGAAGGCGGCGCCCUGGCUCGCAACUGACGCUCAGACACGACAGCAUGGGGAGCGAACGGGAUUAGAUACCCCCGUAGUCC
rnacentral:rRNA from 1 species